GAGCAACCGGAAUAAGAAGAGAAAUAUUUUUCUGGAAAAAGAAGCCAGUUGUCUGGUCCUGUCCUAGGAAUAUCUCGACGAUGAUUUCACAUUGGAAGAAAUGGCUUCUGUAAAAAAGAAAAAAGUAUAGGUAUGCGGAACAGAUGCGAGGUAAAAACUAUGACGAUAAGACAAUUGACCAAAAUGUCAAUAAACAUUCACUCGAAGACUUUGAAGACAAUUUUGCAGCAGUAGAAGAUAUUGAUGGAUCACCUCAUUUACAUCUUUCGGAAAUUGUUGAGCGGCAACAAAAAGCUUUAUUCAGCAUGUUGUUCAAAAUGACACAGUCGUUGAAUGUGACACAAUCCAAAAUUAUUGGAAUCGAAGAAAUGCUAAAGAGCACUACAGAGCAAUCUCCCAAAUUCAGGCUGGAUUGGCCUAUCAUGAGCCUUGAUGCACUAAUAGCAAUAGAAAAUGAGUUAAAAACAGGAAACGAUUAAUUGAAAACAACUCUACAAGGAAAGUUUGAAAAAGGCGAUCGAAAUACAUUAUAUGGAUUCAUAAAUCAAAGUCUUAAUGGAAUAUUAUACCACAAUAAUGAAAGAUGGACAUGGACUGGGUUAUUACCAAACAAUGUUCGCAAUCAAGAGAAUAUGCCCAAAUCACGACCCGCUUCGGACUUGCAAAGCAUUAGUUUGUUGAAAGAUACAGCUCUUAAAAUUUUUCCCAGUGAGACCGACGUCACUGUUACAACAUGUUUAAAGAGAGCAUUGAUUAACCAUAAUGAAUCUAUGAAAAAAAAGCGUAAGGAUGAAACUUUUUCGUUGAGUGAGCAAAUUUUAAAUCGUUUGUAAUAGAAAAAAUAACGAUCAGUUGCGCAGUAUGUAUCCAUAUACUGUUUUUAAGAUUUGAGGGUUUGUGUAUGUAUGAUAUAAAAGAGUUUAUGUAAUUGAAACUCUGUGAAUGUGGAUGUCGACGUGAAUAUGUUUAAUGGUUGUCGACUCGAUAUCGUUUGAUAAAUAUUACUUCGUUUUGCUGCGAAGUAGAUAAAAUUUGUGUAAUAUAGUUUCAUCCAGCACCGUGGCUGUUGCAUAUUAUUUGCAGAAGGAAAUACUAGCAGAGAUAGAUGCUUUGAACUGAUUUCGUGUGCCGAGUUCAAGAUUAUUCAUAACAUUAGAGUAGUACGCAGUAAUGUAUUAUUAUUCUACACAUAUAUGAUAAUUUCAUUUUAGAGUU